AUACGGCGAAACUGCGAAUGGCUCAUUAUAUAAGUUAUCGUUUAUUUGAUAGCACUUUACUACUUGGAUAACCGUGGUAAUUCUAGAGCUAAUACAUGCUAAAAAUCCCGACUUCGGAAGGGAUGUAUUUAUUAGAUUAAAAGCCAAUGCCCUCUGGGCUCUCUGGUGAAUCAUGAUAACUGCUCGAAUCGCAGGGCCUCGUGCCGGCGAUGGUUCAUUCAAAUUUCUUCCCUAUCAACUUUCGAUGUUUGGGUAUUGGCCAAACAUGGUUACAACGGGUAACGGAGGGUUAGGGCUCGACCCCGGAGAAGGAGCCUGAGAAACGGCUACUACAUCCAAGGAAGGCAGCAGGCGCGCAAAUUACCCAAUCCCGACACGGGGAGGUAGUGACAAUAAAUACUGAUACAGGGCUCUUUCGGGUCUUGUAAUUGGAAUGAGUACAAUUUAAAUCCCUUAACAAGGAACAAUUGGAGGGCAAGUCUGGUGCCAGCAGCCGCGGUAAUUCCAGCUCCAAUAGCGUAUAUUAAAGUUGUUGUGGUUAAAAAGCUCGUAGUUGACCCUUGGGCCUGGCUGGCCGGUCCGCCUCACCGCGUGUACUGGUCCGGCCGGGCCUUUCCCUCUGUGGAACCCCAUGCCCUUCACUGGGCGUGGCGGGGAAACAGGACUUUUACUUUGAAAAAAUUAGAGUGCUCCAGGCAGGCCUAUGCUCGAAUACAUUAGCAUGGAAUAAUAGAAUAGGACGUGCGGUUCUAUUUUGUUGGUUUCUAGGACCGCCGUAAUGAUUAAUAGGGACAGUCGGGGGCAUCAGUAUUCAAUUGUCAGAGGUGAAAUUCUUGGAUCUAUUGAAGACUAACUACUGCGAAAGCAUUUGCCAAGGAUGUUUUCAUUAAUCAAGAACGAAAGUUAGGGGAUCGAAGACGAUCAGAUACCGUCGUAGUCCUGACCGUAAACUAUGCCGACUAGGGAUCGGACGAUGUUAUUUUUUGACUCGUUCGGCACCUUACGAGAAAUCAAAGUGC
rnacentral:rRNA from 1 species